rnacentral:rRNA from 1 species
AGUGAACGCUGGCGGUAGGCCUAACACAUGCAAGUCGAACGGCGGCACAGUAAGAGCUUGCUCUUACGGGUGGCGAGUGGCGGACGGGUGAGGAAUACAUCGGAAUCUACUUUUUCGUGGGGGAUAACGUAGGGAAACUUACGCUAAUACCGCAUACGGCCUACGGGUGAAAGCAGGGGAUCUUCGGACCUUGCGCGAUUGAAUGAGCCGAUGUCGGAUUAGCUAGUUGGCGGGGUAAAGGCCCACCAAGGCGACGAUCCGUAGCUGGUCUGAGAGGAUGAUCAGCCACACUGGAACUGAGACACGGUCCAGACUCCUACGGGAGGCAGCAGUGGGGAAUAUUGGACAAUGGGCGCAAGCCUGAUCCAGCCAUACCGCGUGGGUGAAGAAGGCCUUCGGGUUGUAAAGCCCUUUUGUUGGGAAAGAAAAGCAGCAGGUUAAUACCCCGCUGUUCUGACGGUACCCAAAGAAUAAGCACCGGCUAACUUCGUG